CAGCUCUGUAAUUUUUCCUACUGUCUUCAGCUACAUGCACAACCACCUUUCACAGUGACAGGUGGCUGGCCUGGACUGCUUCAGGCACAACUGGAGAAAUUAUUACUAAUAAACAUGAGAGUCCAUGACAUUUAAUUCUGGAAACAAGGGAGCAGCCACCCACCUCUGAUAACUCAGCCCUUCACAGGAAUAAAAUGCUUCCAUGAUUUCCACUAGAGGAAAAGUAAACUUCUAUAGAGUCUCCAGGACAAUUUCUUGUGAGGGGCAGGCAGAGAUGCAGAUAUUUGCAUUUCCUAAACAAUAUGAACAAAAGCAGUUACAAGCAUUUGAAAUGACCCUGACCUGAAUUCUCACUCCACACAUUGCCAGAGUUUAUGACUUCAAAGUCUUCACAACUUGACUGUGGAGUCAGCUUCCUUCACCUUCCUCAUUUUUUACCCAAAUAUAUUUCAACACAGGCACAGGUUUUCCAUUUCAACCACAAACUUCUUUCUUUUAUACUUGAACAUUCUGCUUUCUCUUCUGCUGUCAGACAAGAGAGGGAUGUGUGAUAAAUGCUCUGGUACCUGCACUGUUUGUUCAACACCAGUGGCUGAAUCCCUCUGUUCUCAUUUCCUGCAGUCAUGCAAAAAAAAAAAAUAAAAAUUAUCCCAAGCAGUGUCAACUCCUGGCACACAAGGAGCAGACCAUUCCCCAGCCACCAUGCAACAUCCAGCAGAACACACACAAAACAUUAUUCUUUCAGCUUCUUCAGUCAUUAUUCUUUCAGUUUCUUCAGUCUUGCUACCACCUGGCAUCUCCUUCAGAGGAAAUAUUAACCACUCUGGAAAAGGGGAAUGUCUUUCUGGGAAGCAUCUAGGUGAAAAUUGCUCUAUGGCUUCUUUGUCCUGGCUUGGAAUAAUUCUUUCAAUUCAGCACCAGUGAGACACCCCAUGGGAACUCUGUUACUUCUCUCUUCUAGAGCAAGUGAUAGCUUAGAACCUAAAAUAGAAAGCUUGUUAAAGACAGUGGUAACACAAUAAACAGCACUCUUUGUCACUGA